rnacentral:siRNA from 1 species
CCCAAUUUGUCGCCAUCGCUGC